CAGCAGCCGCGGGAAUACGGAGGGUGCAAGCGUUAAUCGGAAUUACUGGGCGUAAAGCGCACGCAGGCGGUCUGACAAGUCAGAUGUGAAAUCCCCGGGCUUAACCUGGGAACUGCAUUUGAAACUGUCAGGCUGGAGUCUUGUAGAGGGGGGUGGAAUUCCAGGUGUAGCGGUGAAAUGCGUAGAGAUCUGGAGGAAUACCGGUGGCGAAGGCGGCCCCCUGGACAAAGACUGACGCUCAGGUGCGAAAGCGUGGGGAGCAAACAGGAUUAGAUACCCGCGUAGUCCCUGUCUCUUAUAC
rnacentral:rRNA from 1 species